AACGCACAUUGCGCCCCCUGGUAUUCCGGGGGGCACACCUGUCCGAGCGCCAUUUCUACCCUGGAGCCCUGCUCUGUGAUGGGCCCCGUCCUCGCGGACGGGCCCGAAACCCGUGGGCGCCGUCGUCCGGUCCCGAGCGUAGCAAGAGAAAUCCCUCGCUCGGAGCGCCUGGCGGUGGCCGCCCCGACCCAUUUUUACAAGGUUGGCCUCGGAUCAGGUGGGGAUACCCGCUGAACUUAA
rnacentral:misc_RNA from 1 species